CAGUAGCCGCGGUAAUACGGAGGGCGCGAGCGUUACCCGGAUCUACUGGGCGUAAAGGGCGUGUAGGCGGCCUGGGGCGUCCCAUGUGAAAGGCCACGGCUCAACCGUGGAGGAGCGUGGGAUACGCUCAGGCUAGAGGGUGGGAGAGGGUGGUGGAAUUCCCGGAGUAGCGGUGAAAUGCGCAGAUACCGGGAGGAACGCCGAUGGCGAAGGCAGCCACCUGGUCCACUUCUGACGCUGAGGCGCGAAAGCGUGGGGAGCAAACCGGAUUAGAUACCCCGGUAGUCCCUGUCUCUUAUAC
rnacentral:rRNA from 1 species